AUUGAACGCUGGCGGCAGGCCUAACACAUGCAAGUCGAGCGAGCGGCGGACGGGUGAGUAAUGUCUGGGAAACCGCCUGAUGGAGGGGGAUAACUACUGGAAACGGUAGCUAAUACCGCAUACCAUCAGAUGUGCCCAGAUGGGAUUAGCUAGUGGGUGGGGUAACGGCUCACCUAGGAGACGAUCCAUAGCUGGUCUGAGAGGAUGACCAGCCAAAUGGGAACUGAGACACGGUCAAGACUCCUACGGGAGGCAGCAGUGGGGAAUAUUGCACAAUGGGCGCAAGCCGGAGGCAGCCAUGCGGCUGGUGUGAAGAAGGCCUUCGGGUGGUAAAGCACUUUCAUCGGGGAGGCGUUACCCGCAGAAGAAGCACCGGCUAACUCCGUGCCAGCAGCCGCGGUAAUAC
rnacentral:rRNA from 1 species